GUCUCAAGUCUCAAGUCUCAACAUCAUCGUUCUUUCGGUUCCUCAAUGUCAUUCCAGACUCACCGCUAAAACCUCUGUAUUCUUGAUUGAUCAACGAGAGCUCUCUUGCUGAGUACACUACAUGAUGGAGAAGGAGAGCGAAAGAACCCUUUAUAGUUCGAGGAAUUCUAUUCCUCAGAAGAUGCUGAAUCGUUGGUUGAUUGUGUUGUUCAUGGUGUUUUCGUGCUUUGCUGGGGUAUCCUACGGCAGUGCUGGUGAUGCUGAUCCACUUUACAGGUCUUGUGUGAAUAAUUGCAUAAGCAAUGGAUGUAUUGGUGAGAAGUGCUUUCCACAUUGCAAUAUUACUUUGAAUGGUGAUUCACUCCACAGUCCGUGGUACAUGCAAGAAGCCCUUUACUUGAAGUGGAAACAAUCGGAUUGCCUCGGCGAUUGCCGCUACUAUUGCAUGAUCGAUAGAGAACAAAAAAGGCAAUCACUUGGUCAUGGCCCGGUUAAAUAUCAUGGAAAGUGGCCUUUCAAACGUGUUUUUGGACUUCAGGAACCUGUUUCUGUGGCUCUAUCUAUUUUCAACCUCUUAAUGCAUCUCCGUGGUUGGUUGUCCUUUUACCUUCUGCUCCGAUAUAAGCUUCCACAAAAGCAAAAUAAGACUUAUUAUGAAUACACGACUUUGUGGCAUAUCUAUGGAUUGCUCUCCAUUAAUUCUUGGGUCUGGAGUGCUGUUUUCCACAGUCGAGACAUUGACCUAACGGAGAAGCUCGAUUACUCAUCUGCAGUGGCUGUACUUGGGUAUUCUCUUAUUGUUUCGAUAAUGAGGAGUUUCCAUGUUAGAGAUGAGGCUGCCAGAGUCAUGGUGGCUGCUCCGCUUCUGGCUUUCAUAACUACCCACAUAUUGUACCUGAACAACUAUAAAAUGGAUUAUGGUCGACAUGACACGACACUGACUCCGGUAGGAAUUACGAGUCGGAUCCUCCAAAUUGCACUCAGAUACGACAAAUCCUAGAGUUCGAACACGAAGAGGAGAAGAGAAGAGAACUUACCUCGGCCGCCGGGUGGAGCUUCGAACUCGCUCAGUUUUUCUUCGCUUUUCUGUCUUCUCUUCUUCUGUCUCUUCGAUCUUCUCCUUUUCUUUUUUCUAUUUGUCCUUUAUGGGCCGCAUGAAUUUUGUUUUUUUAUUUUGUCUUAUUUACUCCUUUCCUUCUUCUGUUUUACUUUUCUUGUAAACACACUGCUUUUGGUGGUUGUUCUUUUGAAUAACUACCUUAAUUUUAUUGGUAUAUUAUAAUAAACAAAUAUUAAUUUAAAGUAUUAAUUUAUUUAUUAUAGAAAAUAUUAGUUUUGCAUACCCAUAUUUGUGUCCAAAUCUCGGACAGAGUCCCCAUAUCCUGAUUUUUUCGAAGUGCCUUACCAGACACUCGGAUUCGUACCCAUACCAACACUCAAAGGCGAGUCCAGAUAACAUAGGUUUUGGCUAUGGAAGAAAGUAUGAAGGGGUAGAAACCGUCUUUUAUUUUGCUCGUAUGAUUGAUCUUGGCUAAUACAUGUUUAAGAAGCAGGAAACACACGUAGUGACCUUUUGAAGUGGAGAAAAUGCAACACAAAUAAAAGGAUGGAACAUGCAAGUCUGUGUAGUCAUGGCUGUUGUUCAGCUCCUCACCUGGGCAAUCUGGGCAGGGGUCACUCACCAUCCUUCCCGGUGGAAGUUGUGGUUUGUGGUCGUAGCAGGUGGAUUUGCGAUGCUUUUGGA